rnacentral:rRNA from 1 species
GAUGAACGCUGGCGGCGUGCUUAACACAUGCAAGUCGAACGGACAGGCCCUGCUUUUGUGGCUUGCUCGUGUGGCGAGCGCGUGAGUAACACGCGAGUAACCCGUCCCUGACUUAGGGGUAUAACCAGGAAAAACGGGCUCUAACAGGGUAGGAGCUCCUGCAGCACGGGGGGCGUUGGUAAGAUUCGGCGGUUGGGGAUGGACUCGCGGCUUAUCCGCUUGUUGGUGGGGUAGUGGCGUACGAAGGCUUUGACGGGUAGCCGGCCUGAGAGGCUGACCGGCCACAUUGGUCCUGCGAUACGGCGCAGACUCCUACGGGAGGCAGCAGUGGGGAGUAUUGCACAAUGGGCGGAAGCCUGAUGCAGCGACGCCGCGUGCGGGAUGACGGCUUACGGGUUGUAAACAGCUUUCGCCGGUGACGAAGCGUGAGUGACGGUAAUUAGUAAAGAAGCACCGGCUAACUACGUG